AAUUUAUCAGAGGUUAGAUUAGACUCAAAUAAUUUUUUUCCAGUAGGAACUUAACAUUUGUGGAAAACAAGAAGAAAAAAAAGAAAAAACUGAGUGGUACUAUUUGAACCAAUAGGAAAUACUUGUUUUGCUCCAGGUUGCUAUGGUGCGCCUCAAUGCGGGGCUCCCGAGUGGCACAGUGAUCUAAGGCACUGCGUCUCAGUGCUAGUGGCGUCACUACAGAUCCCGGUUCGAAUCCAGGCUGUAUCAUAACCGGCUGUGAUUGGGACCCCCAUAGGGCGGCACACAUUGGGGCCAUAGAACGACCACAUUGGGUCGUACGGGUUUGGACAGGCUGUCAUUGUAAAUAAGAAUUUGUUCUUAACUGACUUGCCUAGUUAAAUUUAAAAAAAUUCACCAGGUGUAGUGGUGUAUGGUGUUCCCUAAAGCACCAGGGUUAGGGUGUAUGGUGUCUCCUAAAGCAUCAGGUGUAGAGGUGUAUGGUGUCCCCUAAAGCACCAGGUGUAGAGGUGUAUGGUGUCCCCUAAAGCACCAGGUGUAGAGGUGUAUGGUGUCCC